rnacentral:rRNA from 1 species
UACGUAGGUGGCGAGCGUUGUCCGGAUUUACUGGGCGUAAAGAGCGCGCAGGCGGUCGUACAAGUCGCGUGUGAAAGCCCCCCGGCUCAACUGGGGAGGGUCACGCGAUACUGUUCGACUCGAAGGCAGGAGAGGGUAGUGGAAUUCCCGGUGUAGUGGUGAAAUGCGUAGAUAUCGGGAGGAACACCAGUGGCGAAGGCGACUACCUGGCCUGUUCUUGACGCUGAGGCGCGAAAGCUAGGGGAGCGAACGGG